rnacentral:rRNA from 1 species
CCCUUAGAUGUUCUGGGCCGCACACGCGCUACACUGAAGGAGGCAGCGUGUACUCCUGGAUCGAAAGAUUUGGGUAACCCGCGAAUCUCCUUCGUGCUAGGGAUUGAGGUUUGCAAUUAUCCUUCAUGAACGAGGAAUUCCCAGUAAGUGCAAGUCAUAAGCUUACGCUGACUACGUCCCUGCCCUUUGUACACACCGCCCGUCGCUACUACCGAUUGAAUGAUUUAGUGAGGACUUCGGACUGGGACCGAUGCGGCUUUCGGGCUGCGUCGGUAUUCUGGAAAGAUGUCCAAACUGUAUCAUUUAGAGGAAGUAAAAGUCGUAACA